rnacentral:rRNA from 1 species
AGUGAACGCUGGCGGUAGGCCUAACACAUGCAAGUCGAACGGCAGCACAGUAAGAGCUUGCUCUUACGGGUGGCGAGUGGCGGACGGGUGAGGAAUACAUCGGAAUCUACUUUUUCGUGGGGGAUAACGUAGGGAAACUUACGCUAAUACAGCAUACGACCUACGGGUGAAAGCAGGGGAUCUUCGGAACUUGCGCGAUUGAAUGAGCCGAUGUCGGAUUAGCUAGUUGGCGGGGUAAAGGCCCACCAAGGCGACGAUCCGUAGCUAGUCUGAGAGGAUGAUCAGCCACACUGGAACUGAGACACGGUCCAGACUCCUACGGGAGGCAGCAGUGGGGAAUAUUGGACAAUGGGCGCAAGCCUGAUCCAGCCAUACCGCGUGGGUGAAGAAGGCCUUCGGGUUUUAAAGCCCUUUUGUUGGGAAAGAAAAGCAGCAGGUUAAUACCCCGCUGUUCUGACGGUACCCAAAGAAUAAGCACCGGCUAACUUCGUG